AUGGCCUUGGCGGCAAGUGUCUGCUGUUUGACCACAGGUCUCUGGGGAGAGAAGGCACCUGACUUGGAGCGCUGGGUAGGUUCCGCGGCCGGUGCUCCUGCUGCAGCCCGUCAAUCUGCCAGUCUGCGUGCAACAUUCUCAGAUGCCAGCCGCUGGGGGCUGGGUGAGCUGCGCCAGCACAGGCCUGCUCAGGUGCACCAGCCACCCGCACCCUCAGCUUCUGCACUUCUCGAAAGGCCUCACUCAAGGGCGCAUCCCCUCCACGACUGUGUGUGUCCUUGCUGCCUGCCAUCAGACGGAUCCUGGACGAACUCGCCCUCGUCACUCAGUGCCCAAGGGAAGGGGCGCUGCGGGGAGUCGCGGUGGUGCAGGCGUCACUGCUCCGUGCUCUGCUGUGCCGAGGAGGGCUGGAAUCCUGCAUUGCACGGAUUGGCUGGGUGUUCUGUAACACUGCCACACCUCAUGGGUAAACGUACCUAUCGCCAUGUGGGCAAAGAGCCACUUCCUUACGCCUGUAUGAGAACGCCCCUCGGACCACUGCGGAAAAGUCAAUCUCUCGGCCUCUUUUUGUGUCUCCAUGAAUUAUUCAAAAAGCAAACCAAGGGAGGAAUUUGGCUCACGGAAAACACCGGGUAAACACAGUUGUGAGUCUGAAGUGCCUGCAGGAACAGAGAGUACAGAUCUUGUGAAAUGUGUGGGCGUGCCCCGGACAGGACAGCUCCGGCCUCUGAGGCGUCCCAGAGACCCUGUUGCAAUCUGAAAUGUUAACCAGAGGCCCCGCAUGCGAACACCCUUUUAACCAGAAAAUGAAGUCAUAUGGCCCUCUUCCCUGCAAGCCUUGGCUCAGGUAUGCCCAACUCUUUUUUUUUUUUUUAAGUAUUUAUUUAUUUGUUUGAAGGCAGAGGCAGAGAGAGACUUCCAUCUGCUGGUUCACUUCCCAGAUGGCCACAAUGGCCAGAGCUACACCAAUCCCAAGCCAGGAGCCAGGAACCUCCUCUGGGUCUCCCACGCGGGUGCAGGGGCCCAAGCACUUGGGUCAUCUUCCACUGCUUUCCCAGGCCACAGCAGAGAGCUGGAUCAGAAGAGGAGCAGCUGAGACUUGAACUGGCGCCCAUAUGGGAUGACAGCAUUGCAGGCAGUAGUUUUACCUGCUAUGCCACAGUGCUGGCCCCAGUAUGGCCAACUCUUUACCCAGAGCCCUAAAGGCCUUAGGAGGGUCGUGACUCCUUUCUGAAAUUGGUAACUUGCUGUGUGUUCCCUUCUGGAGAGUUCUGCAGUAGUCAGAGAUUUUUCAAGGUGGCCAUGAUUCCCCAGAAGCCAAGCACCACUGCUGACUAGGAUAAUGAAUGCGGUCCGCUCCUGUGAGACGUGUGUAAAUGCCUCCAUCACUAGCUAGCUUGCCUAACUGUGUGAUAAAUGAACCCACACUGAAAGAUGGGUCUCCGGCUCAGGCCUUACAGAAAUCCAUGACUAAAGAAAAUAACCCAGGGCCCGUGUUGUGGUGCAGCAGGACAAGCCACCACCAGCGACACGGGAAUCCCACGUGGAUACAGAUUUGAGUUCCGGGUGCCCACUUCCGAUCCAGCUCCCUGCUAAUGGAAAGCAGCAGAGGACGGCUCAAGAACGUGGUCCCUUG
ensembl:lncRNA